rnacentral:rRNA from 1 species
AGUGAACGCUGGCGGUAGGCCUAACACAUGCAAGUCGAACGGCAGCACAGGAGAGCUUGCUCUCUGGGUGGCGAGUGGCGGACGGGUGAGGAAUACAUCGGAAUCUACUCUGUCGUGGGGGAUAACGUAGGGAAACUUACGCUAAUACCGCAUACGACCUACGGGUGAAAGCAGGGGACCUUCGGGCCUUGCGCGAUUGAAUGCGCCGAUGUCGGAUUAGCUAGUUGGCGGGGUAAAGACCCACCAAGGCGACGAUCCGUAGCUGGUCUGAGAGGAUGAUCAGCCACACUGGAACUGAGACACGGUCCAGACUCCUACGGGAGGCAGCAGUGGGGAAUAUUGGACAAUGGGCGCAAGCCUGAUCCAGCCAUACCGCGUGGGUGAAGAAGGCCUUCGGGUUGUAAAGCCCUUUUGUUGGGAAAGAAAUCCAGCUGGCUAAUACCCGGUUGGGAUGACGGUACCCAAAGAAUAAGCACCGGCUAACUUCGUGCCAGCCGCCGCCGUAA